rnacentral:rRNA from 1 species
UGCCGCCUACGGGAGGCAGCAGUGGGGGAUAUUGCACAAUGGGGGAAACCCUGAUGCAGCGACGCCGCGUGGGUGAAGAAGCGCCUCGGCGCGUAAAGCCCUGUCAGCAGGGAAGAAAAUGACGGUACCUGAAGAAGAAGCCCCGGCUAACUACGUGCCAGCAGCCGCGGUAAUACGUAGGGGGCAAGCGUUAUCCGGAUUUACUGGGUGUAAAGGGGGCGCAGACGGCGAUGCAAGCCAGGAGUGAAAGCCCGGGGCCCAACCCCGGGACUGCUCUUGGAACGGCGCGGCUAGAGUGCAGGAGG